ACUUUUCUUUCUGUGUUUUAAUAGACUUCCUACUCAGCUCUUCAAGAUAUUCUUCCUUAUUGGCCCCAGUGGCUUUUUAUGUUGGCCCUUGAAGGACUUUGGCUGUGCCUCACCUUCUUUCUGAGUGUACCUGGGUGUCCAAAAGGCUACCUUGGACCUGGAGGCAUUGGCAGUUUUGGAAACUUUCCCAACUGUACUGGAGGGGCAGCAGCUUACAUUGAUCAUUUGCUGCUAGGAGGAAAACAUAUCUAUCAACAUCCAUCUUCUAAUGUGUUGUAUCUCACUACAGUUCCCUUUGAUCCUGAAGGAAUUUUAGGAACAAUAAAUUCUGUUCUUAUGGCAUUUUUAGGACUUCAGGGAGGAAAAAUUCUUUUGUUUUAUAAAGAUCAGCAUAAGCAAAUAAUUCUUCGAUUUUGUGUGUGGAGUAUAAUAAUGGUAAGUUACAAAUAUUGCCUUUUUUAUACUAUAUUUAUUUCUCAAUUCUUUUAACGUGUUUGUUGUUUUCUGGCAAAUUUGGCUCGAAAGAGAUGAAUAUUUCCUCAGUUACAAUAAACUGAAUUUCAGCUCUUUAAAGGAUCACACUUAAAAUGCAAAUUAAAAUAUGCAAAAUUAAGGUAAGAGUACCCUGUCAUCUAUAGAUGGAUUCAAAUCACCAUGUCCUGAUGGACUACAUCCCAGAGUUCUGAAGGAACUGACAAAUGUGAUUUCAGAAUCGCUGAAAGAAGUGAUUCUGUGCCAGGAGCUUUCAAAGUUCUUGGAUCACUAGGGAACUGCCUGAAGAUUGGAAAAAUCUUUAAAAAGGAAAAAAAUAGAUCCACAAAAAAAAACCCAAUCAGCCUGAUAUCAAUCUCUGGGAAUUGAUAUCUGCAAACGCCUAGAAGCAAAUAAGGUUAAAAUCAGAAGCCAAAACCAUAUCAUGCCA